rnacentral:rRNA from 1 species
AGCGAACGCUGGCGGCAGGCCUAACACAUGCAAGUCGAACGAACCUUUCGGGGUUAGUGGCGGACGGGUGAGUAACACGUGGGAACGUGCCUUUAGGUUCGGAAUAACUCAGGGAAACUUGUGCUAAUACCGAAUGUGCCCUUCGGGGGAAAGAUUUAUCGCCUUUAGAGCGGCCCGCGUCUGAUUAGCUAGUUGGUUGAGGUAAUGGCUCACCAAGGCGACGAUCAGUAGCUGGUCUGAGAGGAUGAUCAGCCACAUUGGGACUGAGACACGGCCCAAACUCCUACGGGAGGCAGCAGUGGGGAAUCUUGCGCAAUGGGCGAAAGCCUGACGCAGCCAUGCCGCGUGAAUGAUGAAGGUCUUAGGAUUGUAAAAUUCUUUCACCGGGGAUGAUAAUGACGGUACCCGGAGAAGAAGCCCCGGCUAACUUCGU